rnacentral:misc_RNA from 1 species
GAUGAAGAACGUAGCAAAACGCGAUAUGUAAUGUGAAUUGCAGAAUUCAGUGAAUCAUCGAAUCUUUGAACGCACAUGGCGCCUUCCAGUAUCCUGGGAGGCAUGCCUGUCCGAGCGUCGUUUCAACCCUCGAGCCCCCGUGGCCCGGCGUUGGGGAUCUGCCACGGCAGGCCCCUAAAACCAGUGGCGGACCCGAAGGCCCUCUCCUUUGCGCAGUAGCAUCAGCCUCGCAUUGGGAUCCCUCGGCGUCCUGCCUCUAAACCCCCCACAAGUCCGCUCCGGCGGCACCAAGGUUGACCUCGGAUCAGGUAGGAAUACCCGCUGAACUUAAGCAUAUCAAUAAGCGGAGGA